GAGGACAAUCACAGCUUGUCAGUGAGAACCAUGGAGCUAUGGGCUGGGGUUUGCUGGUUUGCCUGCCUGGGCUCUUAAGGAACCAGCUCAUAAGGGGCAGGGAAACUUGGCUGCCCAAAAUGUUGCAUGGCCAAGGAGCUGGCAAAACUGGAUUUGCUGGUUUGGGAUGAGGAUAAAGCCAAGCGUUUGCAGCUGUCAUCUGGGCCAUGGAUUGUGGUGGGGGCUGCAAAGGAUGCUGGAGACGUCCCCUCAGGUGGGAGCACAGGGGAGCCCUAGUGCCAAGCUUGGGGUCCACCUCCGUGUACCUCUGUUCACCUUGUGCCUUUCCUACCUGCUCAGACCUAAGCAGCGAAGGCACAAGGCAGAGGCAUACCCCAUGGGUUUAGGUCUGAACACACACUGAGGAAGCUGUGGAGCAGCUUUGGUGAGCAGGACCAGAGAGAGCUCAGGGUAUCAGCUACACCUCCUGCAUCUUCCCAGGGGCUGCCUUUUCUUUUGUUAAUGUUUGAUUAUUUUUAACGAUUUAAGAUUAAAAUGUAAUUAUUUUCAAUCAGUAGUUACACUUCUUAAUUACAAAGAUGAAUUAGAUUACUGUUUGUUAUUAAUUAGAUUUUAACUUUGCACUGAUUCUGCCUUUUAUCAGUCACUUCCCAUACUCCUCCUCUCCCCAUCCAACCUAUCUCUCCCCCUAUGCUUCCUCAAACCCCACUGCUUCCCACUGCCCUGCAGGGGAAACUUGUCUAGAAAAUACAAAUCAAUGUUAUCUGCUCUUUUAAAAGCCCAAAUACCAACCAGAUGAUGCAAUUUUUGGCCAAAAAACCAUGAAAAGAAACCAUUAAUAUUCUGCCUCCAUCAAUGGCUGGAACAGAAACUUUCCCUAUUACCUGCUGCGGCAUGGGAACAAUCCCACUCUUCCCUAUGUGCAGAAGGGAUCUGGUCCCUCACCCCUGCUGCAUUCCCUUUGCUUUAGUUUGCUUUUUGUGGACAAGGCGAUUUCCUGGGCUUUGUUUGGUCCUUCUGUUUUUAAAGCAAUCUUCUUUCUCUCCUUUCCAUCUAUCACCCUUCAGGCACCUCAUCAAUGCUUGCUGCUGCUCUCAGCUUUCCUGCUCGCUGCUGUCUCUAUCUCCCUUCUCUCAUCACUGUGUCCCUGAGGGAGGUCUCCUUUCUACCGGGGCUUCCUGGGACCCCAACCCCUGCUGUCUAUUGACUCAUCCCCCUUUAAUUUGAAGUGGUGCUGUAAUGUGCACCUACUCCCAGGGGUUAAAGUGUGCUUCGUGCACAUUUGCCCUGAGAUUUCUUGGUCUGCCUCUGUCAUCCUCCCUUUGCUGCUUCCCUGGGCAGUGGGCAGUGGGUGUUGCUUGGUUGGGCACAAGUUGUGGUCCUGUUUGAUGGGUUUUCUUGUGGAGGUCACAGACUGCUUUUACCCCUUUUCCUGCUGUUUCAGGGGGUAGAAAGUGCACAGGGCCUCUUCUGAGAUGGAGAAGAGAAAAUCAAAUGGUGGGAUCCAGGGAGAUGUUUUCAUCCCUGAAAAGCUCCCCUUACUCCUGUUGCUCCUGCAGGGUCUCUCUGUGCUGUAGGUGUGACAGUGUCGUGCCCCAGAGCUCUUUGGCUUCGUUGAAAUGUCAACAAUCCUGAAAUGGUUUGGACGGGAAGAUAAGGACAAAGAGGAGAAGGAAAAGGGCAAGGAAACAGAGAAGGGAGAAGAGG